rnacentral:RNase_P_RNA from 2 species
CAGGUCGGUCGGAUGGUCGCGGGGUCCAGGUGACCCUGAGGAAAGUCCGUACUCCAAAGAGCACAAUGCCGGAUAACAUCCGGGGUGGGGCAACCUGCCGGAUAGGGCCACAGAAACAUACCGCCGGGUCACACCGGUAAGGGUGAAAUGGUGGUGUAAGAGACCACCGGCGCCAGCAGUAAUGUCGGCGGCCAGGCAACCCCCAUUGGGAGCAAGGCCAAGCAGGGACGAGGUGCUGCUCGCACCAUUCGAGUUCCGGGUAGGCUGCUAGAGUUGUGUGGAAACACACAUCCCAGAUAGAUGGCCAUCCAGGCGGCUCCGGCUGCCGGACAGAAUGCGGCUUAUAGGCUGACCUGGGAU